AGUGCCUACGGGAGGCAGCAGUGAGGAAUAUUGGUCAAUGGGCGGAAGCCUGAACCAGCCAAGUCGCGUGAGGGAAUAAGGCCCUACGGGUCGUAAACCUCUUUUGCCGGGGAGCAAGGGCGGGGACGUGUCCCGGCCCGGAGAGUACCCGGAGAAAAAGCAUCGGCUAACUCCGUGCCAGCAGCCGCGGUAAUACGGAGGAUGCGAGCGUUAUCCGGAUUUAUUGGGUUUAAAGGGUGCGUAGGCGGGCUUUUAAGUCAGCGGUAAAAAUUCGGGGCUCAACCCCGAAACUGCCUCUAAUACUG
rnacentral:rRNA from 1 species